rnacentral:tRNA from 1 species
GGCUUAGUAGCUCAGUGGUAGAGCAAGAGAUUCAUAUCCUCUCGGUCGCAGGUUCAAAUCCCGCCUAAGCCA